UCCCUGGUGGCUCAGAUGGUAAAGCGUCUGCCUGUGAUGCAGGAGACCCGGGCUAGAUUUCUGGGUCGGGAA
rfam:TPA: Bos taurus chromosome 19, whole genome shotgun sequence.